rnacentral:rRNA from 1 species
AGAGUUUGAUCAUGGCUCAGAAUCAACGCUGGCGGCGCGCCUAACACAUGCAAGUCAAACGAGAAAGUGGAGCAAUCCAUGAGUAAAGUGGCGUACGGGUGAGUAACACGUGGAUCAUCUGCCCUUUUGUGGGGAAUACCGCUGGGAAACCGGCGACAAUACCGCAUAAGCCCGAGAGGGGAAAGCAGCAAUGCGCAGAAGGAGGAGUCCGCGGUCGAUUAGCUAGUUGGUAGGGUAAUGGCCUACCAAGGCUGUGAUCGAUAGCCGGCCUGAGAGGGCACACGGCCACACUGGCACUGAAACACGGGCCAGACUCCUACGGGGGGCAGCAGUGGGGAAUCUUGCACAAUGGGGGAAACCCUGAUGCAGCGACGCCGCGUGAGCGAUGAAGCCCUCCGGGGUGUAAAGCUCUUUCGGCAGGGAAGAUUAUGACGGUACCUGCAGAAGCAGCUGCGGCUAACUACGUGCCAGCAGCCGCGGUAAUACGUAGGCAGCAAGCGUUGUUCGGAGUUACUGGGCGUAAAGGGUGCGUAGGCGGCCCUGUAAGUAUGGUGUGAAAUCUCCCGGCUUAACUGGGAGGGUGCGCUAUAGACUGCGGGGCUCGAGUGUGGGAGAGGAAAGUGGAAUUCCUGGUGUAGCGGUGAAAUGCGUAGAUAUCAGGAGGAACACCGGUGGUGUAAACGGCUUUCUGGACCACAACUGACGCUGAGGCACGAAAGCGUGGGUAGCAAACAGGAUUAGAUACCCUGGUAGUCCACGCCCUAAACGAUGCAUAUUUGGUGUGGGUCAUUCAGUUGAUCCGUGCCGGAGCUAACGCGUUAAAUAUGCCGCCUGGGGAGUACAGUCGCAAGGCUGAACUCAAGGAAUUGACGGGGCCCGCACAAGCGGUGGAGCAUGUGGUUUAAUUCGACGCAACGCGAAGAACCUUACCUGGGCUCGAAAUGCUGUGGACCAGCUG